UACGAAGGGGGCUGGCGUUGUUCGGAUUUACUGGGCGUAAAGCGCACGUAGGCGGUUUGUUAAGUCAGGGGUGAAAUCCCACAGCUCAACUGUGGAACUGCCUUUGAUACUGGCAAGCUAGAGUCCGGAAGAGGUAAGUGGAACUCCUAGUGUAGAGGUGGAAUUCGUAGAUAUUAGGAAGAACACCAGUGGCGAAGGCGGCUUACUGGUCCGGAACUGACGCUGAGGUGCGAAAGCGUGGGGAGCAAACAGG
rnacentral:rRNA from 1 species